UUCUUAAUAUUAAUCACCGUCGUUUUCUUCCCCCUUGGAGCCCUUUGGGGGGUGUUUCUUUGCGGAUAUUUGGCAAACAGAUACGGCAGAAAACCUACUCUACUAAUUAAUAAUGGAAUUGUUAUCGUUUCGUCUGCUGCCCUGUGUCUCGACAGAAUAAUCCAGCUUUCUAAAUUCACCAUGUUUGCUCGUUUUCUGGCAGGGUUAGGGUCAGGUUCCUUCAGUUGCUCUGUCCCCAUCUACAUCCUUGAAAUCGCCCCCUUGAAUCUGAGAGGAGCCCUGGCAACAACUUCCAUCUUCUUCCUCAGCUGGGGCCAUCUUUUCGGCCAAAUUUUAACCAUCCCCCAGGUCUGGGGGAACAAAGA